GCGGCAGGCCUAACACAUGCAAGUCGAGCGGCAGCGGGAAGUAGCUUGCUACUUUGCCGGCGAGCGGCGGACGGGUGAGUAAUGUCUGGGAAACUGCCUGAUGGAGGGGGAUAACUACUGGAAACGGUAGCUAAUACCGCAUAACGUCGCAAGACCAAAGAGGGGGACCUUCGGGCCUCU
rnacentral:rRNA from 1 species